rnacentral:rRNA from 1 species
CUACGGGAGGCAGCAGUGGGGAAUAUUGGACAAUGGGCGCAAGCCUGAUCCAGCCAUGCCGCGUGAGUGAUGAAGGCCUUAGGGUUGUAAAGCUCUUUCGCCAGGGACGAUAAUGACGGUACCUGGAUAAGAAGCCCCGGCAAACUUCGUGCCAGCAGCCGCGGUAAUACGAAGGGGGCUAGCGUUGUUCGGAAUCACUGGGCGUAAAGCGCAUGCAGGCGGAUCGUUAAGUCGGGGGUGAAAUCCCGAGGCUCAACCUCGGAACUGCCUCCGAUACUGGCGAUCUUGAGUCCGGAAGAGGUGAGUGGAAUUGCGAGUGUAGAGGUGAAAUUCGUAGAUAUUCGCAAGAACACCAGUGGCGAAGGCGGCUCACUGGUCCGGUACUGACGCUGAGAUGCGAAAGCGUGGGGAGCAAACAGGAUUAGAAACCCGGGUAGUCC